AGGGCAGAAAACCAGGAGCAAUGAAAAUUGGAGAGAAGCAUAUUUAAGCGUGAUAUAAGAUUUCAUGAGUGAUGAGAUUUCUACAAGAUUAAUAAAAUAAACCCUCUGGAUGGGUGUUAAUGAGAGAGUUGGAACAUGUAAGAUGUCAAUCUGUAAUUUGACAGAGAAGUUGAUUGAAGAAGAUCUACCAUCUAUAUAUGACACUGACUAAGAUGAAUAUGGAGAAGAAUAAAAUAUGACAUUAUAUCCAAGUUUACUGUGAAAAUCUCCAGCUAGAGGAUGGAAUCCUUCCAAGAGAUCUUCCAGCAAAAUACAAGCUAUUAGAUCAACAGAAAACCACUCCACACUAAGUAGAAAAGUGACUAUAUAAAUUAGCAUUUUACAAGAAUCCCAAAGAAUGGCAAAGACCCAUGUAAUGACAACAUAUUUCAAUGAUGUGAUUAACCACAAGGGAGCUAAUCAGACUCCUUGGUAAAUUAAACAAAAAAAGGAGAUUUAAGGAAUUUGGAUGCCAAGAAAGAUGUCCACUAUUUAUAGAUGUGACAGGGAACCCAACAGUAGGUAGAGAGCUACAUUAGAUACUUAGUUUGUCAGACUCUGGACAAGUCACUUAAUCUUUUGGAACACAAUUUGCUCAUCUGUUAAAAUUACUUCCAAUUACAUUACAUUCUCAGUUUCUGAUUCUAUGAUCCUGACAGUUGGUAUCAGAUGAUGGUCUUUGUGAAGAGAAUGAAGGCCAAAAUCUGGAUGAAAAAAUAUUUGUAUUUUUAUAGGUAUUGGAGAGAUAUACUAAAAUUAUGCAGAUCUGGGUUAAAAUAUUGGCCAUAGGAUGGUGGAGUUGAGUAUUGAGAUUGGUUCUUAUUUGUAUAUACUCCAGACAUGGAAACCCCAAGAAAAAAGAAUACAGCAACAAACUCUGUUGAGGCAGAAGAUAGCAAAAUUCACCCUAAGCCAUUAUUUGUCAUCAGAUCUAGACGUGAAACUGUAGACUCAGGACUCAGCAUAGUUUGUCCCAUAAAUAUGGAGGAAAUUAAGGGGGAAAAAAGGAUAAUAAGUCACUAUAAAAGUGUCUGGAUUAUCCUAUACUUUUUCUAGGAAUUUUGAGACUUAUAUGCCAGAUUCAGCUUGGUGAUGUUUUAGAUUAAUCAUUUCUUAGACCUUCUCCUUUUACUUAAAUUAUAAGAUAAAUUAUUUUAAAUUAUAAGAUAAAGUAUUUAGAUGAGUUAAUAUCUAUCAGUCAGAUCAUCUGUAGAUUAUUACUGACAAAAUAUUUUUGAUUCAAAUACAAGCACUUAGUCAUAUACAAUUUUAAAUAAUUAUCUUUUCACAUUCUGUAGUCUAUCCAAAUUUUCCUUCUUACUAUUCCUCAUAUAUUAUAGUCCAUUUUUCCUCUCUGCGUCUUUAUGAAAACUUAAUUCCAUGCCUGGGCUAGAUUACUAUCUUUCCUCUGUCUCUUAGAAUGAAUAAUUUCCUUAAAAAUUCAAGUGUAACUUUCGAUGUGAGGCUUUUAUUUUCCAACCUGAUUACAUUUCCCUGCUUUUCCUCCCUCCCACAAAUUGCUUUGUAUUUAUGUACACACCUGUUGUCUCCAGUUAUAAUAUAAGUUCCUUGAGUAUAGGAACUAUUUCAUUUCUCUCCUGUAUCUUUAGUACUUAGCACAAAUCCUGGCAGGUAUUUAGUAAGUGAUCAUUGAAUUUAUUAACUAAAUGCUUAACAAAUGCUUGUGGAACAAUUAUACAUGAAUAGGAAGGACAAAUCCAGGUCUUCUGAUUCAGAGUCUAGAACUCUUUAUACCAUACCAUAAUGGGAUUUGUCAAUAUAUGUGAAGUAUGACUUCUUAUUAGUGAUACUGCUAGACUUCCUUUUAAAAGUAAGUAAACCAUGGACAUUUAUGGAUUAGGGACAUUUGAGUGAUAUUUAGAUUAGAAGUAUUGCUUGAAAUCUAGUAUUUGGUUUAUUGUAGUCUACAUGCUUGGUGGGAUAAAUAUAAUGAAUGGUUUUAUUGUAAUUUUUGGCUAAAAGUAUCAAUCUUUCUUUCUUUCCCUCUCUCUAAAGGGCCCCUCUCAACUCUAGAAUAAUGCAUAUAAUCAGAGGAGAUUCAGUCCCAAGAGAGUCCAGGCCUUAAUCAGAGGGGGUUAAGAUCAUUCCCUCAUAAUAUUCAUCUUGUAAUAUCCCAAACUGCAUUUUUAGGAAAAAAUUAUUAAGCUUAGGUUUUGAUUAAUGUCUAGAUUCUUCCCAAAGAGGAAAGGUAGAAGGUAAUGAAUAUACAAUAUAAAUCAGAUAUGAGAGACCAGGCAUGUAUUUAAUGCACAUAAAGUGAAUGUUCAAUAUAGAACAAACACAAGCGUUCACUGACAUAAAGACUUAAAACAGGAUUCAGAAAAUUAGCUUAUAGCGAUCUUUUUGGAAAGGUUAUGACUUAAACUUAUAAUUUGUGGGGCUGCUGAAUAGGUAUUGUUAAAUUUCACUUUGACUCUACACUAUACUCUUAAAUUCCUCAUCUAGUGGCCAGUUAAAUGAGGACACAAGCUCCUUCUUUUUAGAGUUGUCACCUUCUCCAGUGUAGAAAUUUUCUGGACACUGGUCAGCUCACUCAAUGGGCCUAGGACCUUUGGGCCUUUUGAACACACAAGAUUUCCUCCUGGGUAGUAAACAUCUAUCUUGUGAUUGAUGGUUUUUUUCAGUAAGAUCAGAUAAAGCAACACAAAAUCAGAAGAAGCUUCAGGAAGCAUAAGUUCAAACUUGAACUAACUGAACCCUGGAAUGCUACAUGAAAGUAGACAAUCUAUGCAAGAGCCAAAUAUAUCACUACAAUGAGAGUUUUCAAGAGUACUUACAAGCCCUUCACCUAAUGAAAAAAAAAUACUGAGAAUAGGUCACUCCCUUGAAAGGCUUUGUUGAGUCAUUGAUACUCCCUAUUCAUGAGUGAGUAAAGUGAUUGCUUUAUCAUCUCAAGGCAUCAAAUUCCUUUCAGCAUGCAGGCAUCACACAUUGUGGAAUGGAAGCAAGCAGGGAGUUUUAUCAUUUCCAAAGCACCAAGAACUGAAAUAGCACACAUGUUUUUCUAGAAACAGACAACAGAAAUAUAUAUUUUUCAUAUAUAUAUAUAUAUAUCUCACAAAUAUACAUUCAUAAUAUAUAGCAAUUAUAUAUUAUAUAAAUAAUAUUUAUGUGCAUAUACUAUAUAGGAUAUAUAUGCAAAACAUACACAUGCUAAUAGAUUAAAUUUAUUAGCUAUAAAGAACUGCAAGUUUAAAAUUUUCCCCCUUCCUUACCCUCUACAUACAAGAUGUUCUUAUUUCUCUCUCUCUCUCCUGUUUUUUUUUUUUUUUUUUUGAGAAGACAUUGAAUGAGAUUAUUACAAAUAGGAAACCCAUUAACACACAAUGUAGAUAUCUCAGCAUUGUUGUUCAUGUCAUGAAAAACAAAAUAAAAAAAUCAUA